rnacentral:rRNA from 1 species
UACGUAGGGUGCGAGCGUUAAUCGGAAUUACUGGGCGUAAAGCGUGCGCAGGCGGCUUUGCAAGACAGAUGUGAAAUCCCCGGGCUCAACCUGGGAACUGCAUUUGUGACUGCAAGGCUAGAGUACGGCAGAGGGGGAUGGAAUUCCGCGUGUAGCAGUGAAAUGCGUAGAUAUGCGGAGGAACACCAAUGGCGAAGGCAAUCCCCUGGGACUGUACUGACGCUGAUGCACGAAAGCGUGGGGAGCAAACAGG